rnacentral:rRNA from 1 species
UACGUAGGGUGCAAGCGUUAAUCGGAAUUACUGGGCGUAAAGCGUGCGCAGGCGGUUUUGUAAGCCAGAUGUGAAAUCCCCGGGCUUAACCUGGGAACUGCGUUUGAAACUACAAGGCUAGAGUGUGGCAGAGGGGGGUGGAAUUCCACGUGUAGCAGUGAAAUGCGUAGAGAUGUGGAGGAACACCGAUGGCGAAGGCAGCCCCCUGGGUUAACACUGACGCUCAGGCACGAAAGCGUGGGGAGCAAACAGG